UACGAAGGGUGCAAGCGUUAAUCGGAAUUACUGGCGUAAAGCGCGCGUAGGUGGUUUGGUAAGAUGGAUGUGAAAUCCCCGGGCUCAACCUGGGAACUGCAUCCAUAACUGCCUGACUAGAGUACGGUAGAGGGUGGUGGAAUUUCCUGUGUAGCGGUGAAAUGCGUAGAUAUAGGAAGGAACACCAGUGGCGAAGGCGACCACCUGGACUGAUACUGACACUGAGGUGCGAAAGCGUGGGGAGCAAACAGG
rnacentral:rRNA from 1 species